GAUGAACGCUGGCGGCGUGCCUAAUACAUGCAAGUCGAGCGAACGGACGAGAAGCUUGCUUUUCUGAUGUUAGCGGCGGACGGGUGAGUAACACGUGGAUAACCUACCUAUAAGACUGGGAUAACUUCGGGAAACCGGAGCUAAUACCGGAUAAUAUUUUGAACCGCAUGGUUCAAAAGUGAAAGACGGUCUUGCUGUCACUUAUAGAUGGAUCCGCGCUGCAUUAGCUAGUUGGUAAGGUAACGGCUUACCAAGGCAACGAUGCAUAGCCGACCUGAGAGGGUGAUCGGCCACACUGGAACUGAGACACGGUCCAGACUCCUACGGGAGGCCGCAGUAGGGAAUCUUCCGCAAUGGGCGAAAGCCUGACGGAGCAACGCCGCGUGAGUGAUGAAGGUCUUCGGAUCGUAAAACUCUGUUAUUAGGGAAGAACAUAUGUGUAAGUAACUGUGCACAUCUUGACGGUACCUAAUCAGAAAGCCACGGCUAACUACGUG
rnacentral:rRNA from 1 species